rnacentral:rRNA from 1 species
GCACCAGACUCCUACGGGAGGCAGCAGUGGGGAAUAUUGCACAAUGGGGGAAAUCCUGAUGCAGCGACGCCGCGUGAGUGAAGAAGUAUUUCGGUAUGUAAAUCUCUAUCAGCAGGGAAGAAAAUGACGGUACCUGAUUAAGAAGCCCCGGCUAACUACGUGCCAGCAGCCGCGGUAAUACGUAGGGGGCAAGCGUUAUCCGGAUUUACUGGGUGUAAAGGGAGCGUAGACGGCAGCACAAGUCUGGAGUGAAAUGCCGGGGCUUAACCCGGGAACUGCUUUGGAAACUGUACGGCUGGAGUGCUGGAGAGGUAAGCGGAAUUCCUAGUGUAGCGGUGAAAUGCGUAGAUAUUAGGAGGAACACCAGUGGCGAAGGCGGCUUACUGGACAGUAACUGACGUUGAGGCUCGAAAGCGUGGGGAGCAAACAGGAUUAGAUACCCUCGUAU